rnacentral:rRNA from 1 species
GACGAACGCUGGCGGCGUGCCUAAUACAUGCAAGUCGAACGAGAGCAACCGGUGCUUGCACUGGUCAAUCUAGUGGCGAACGGGUGAGUAACACGUGGGUAACCUGCCCAUCAGAGGGGGAUAACAUCCGGAAACGGAUGCUAAAACCGCAUAGGUCUUCGAACCGCAUGGUUUGAAGAGGAAAAGAGGCGCAAGCUUCUGCUGAUGGAUGGACCCGCGGUGCAUUAGCUAGUUGGUGAGGUAACGGCUCACCAAGGCCGUGAUGCAUAGCCGACCUGAGAGGGUGAUCGGCCACAUUGGGACUGAGACACGGCCCAAACUCCUACGGGAGGCAGCAGUAGGGAAUCGUCCGCAAUGGACGCAAGUCUGACGGAGCAACGCCGCGUGAGUGAAGAAGGUUUUCGGAUCGUAAAACUCUGUUGUUAGAGAAGAACAAGUGCUAGAGUAACUGUUAGCGCCUUGACGGGAUCUAACCAGAAAGCCACGGCUAACUACG